rnacentral:rRNA from 1 species
UGGGGAAUUUUACGCAAUGGGCGAAAGCCUGACGUAGCGACACCGCGUGAACGAAGAAGCCUUUUGGGGUGUAAAGUUCUGUCAGCAGGGACGAAAAAAAUGACGGUACCUGCAGAGGAAGCAUCGGCUAACUACGUGCCAGCAGCCGCGGUAAGACGUAGGAUGCAAGCGUUGUCCGGAUUUAUUGGGCGUAAAGAGUCCGUAGGUGGUUUGUUAAGUCUGAUGUUAAAGACUGGGGCUCAACCUCGGAAAUGCAUUGGAUACUGGCAGACUUGAGUGCAGUAGAGGCAAGUGGAAUUCCAGGUGUAGCGGUGAAAUGCGUAGAUAUCUGGAAGAACACCGGUGGCGCAAGCGACUUGCUGGGCUGUAACUGACGCUGAGGAACGAAAGCUAGGGGAGCAAA